AUUGAACGCUGGCGGCAUGCCUUACACAUGCAAGUCGAACGGCAGCACGGGAGCAAUCCUGGUGGCGAGUGGCGAACGGGUGAGUAAUAUAUCGGAACGUGCCCAGUCGUGGGGGAUAACGUAGCGAAAGCUACGCUAAUACCGCAUACGAUCUAUGGAUGAAAGCGGGGGAUCGCAAGACCUCGCGCGAUUGGAGCGGCCGAUAUCAGAUUAGGUAGUUGGUGAGGUAAAGGCUCACCAAGCCGACGAUCUGUAGCUGGUCUGAGAGGACGACCAGCCACACUGGGACUGAGACACGGCCCAGACUCCUACGGGAGGCAGCAGUGGGGAAUUUUGGACAAUGGGCGCAAGCCUGAUCCAGCAAUGCCGCGUGCAGGAUGACGGUCCUAUGGAUUGUAAACUGCUUUUGUACGAGAAGAAACAACAUUACGUGUAAUGUCUUGACGGUAUCGUAAGAAUAAGGAUCGGCUAACUCCGUG
rnacentral:rRNA from 1 species